rnacentral:tRNA from 1 species
AAGAGUGACCAAAAAAUGGCUAGACUAAUGGCUAUACCAACCACCCCCAAACCUGCCCCCACCGGCACAAACAAAAACCGAAUUCUUCGUUCGGGACGAAGAGGCCGCGGGUUCAAAUCCCGCCACCC